CCUACGGGUGGCAGCAGUGGGGAAUAUUGCACAAUGGGGGAAACCCUGAUGCGGCGACGCCGCGUGAGUGAAGAAGUAUUUCGGUAUGUAAAGCUCUAUCAGCAGGGAAGAAAAUGACGGUACCUGAGUAAGACUCCCCGGCUAACUACGUUCCAGCAGCCGCGGUAAUACGUAGGGGGCAAGCGUUAUCCGGAUUUACUGGGUGUAAAGGGAGCGUAGACGGCAGCACAAGUCUGGAGUGAAAUGCGGGGGCUUAACCCCGGAACUGCUUUGGAAACUGUGCGGCUAGAGUGCAGGAGAGGUAAGUGGAAUUCCUAGUGUAGCGGUGAAAUGCGUAGAUAUUAGGAGGAACACCAGUGGCGAAGGCGGCUUACUGGACUGUAACUGACGUUGAGGCUCGAAAGCGUGGGGAGCAAACAGGAUUAGAUACCCGAGUAGUC
rnacentral:rRNA from 1 species